UAGGCAUUUCUUUGCCCAGUGCUCCUGCCAUGGUGUGCUUCUUUGCUACAGACCUCAAAUCAACAGGGCUAUUUGAUCAUGGAUUGGAGCGGAACCUCCAAAAUGGGACACAAAAGACAGAGAAGGUAGCAACAAUAAGAAAGGGAGGAAGAAAACCAAGUGAGGUUUGGGGUAUAUAGAAAGAAGAGUCUCAUAGGAGGAAACCAACCUGCGAUUCAGAGCGCAGUCGGCCCCAGGACUUUUCCUGCUGGUUCCGUGAAACAGGGGCCUGCUUUCUGCUCUGGGUGUCAAGGGGACAGGAUGAAAGUCUGCUCUUGAGUUGUUUGUGAAAGCUUGCCAGGGGAUGGAGCCAAAUAGAAAUGACCAGCUGAGCAAUGAAAAGAGAACUUUCCUGAGGACAUUGUCCAGGUGCCUGGAUGCAACUGCAGCCGAAAAUGAUACACGCCUCUCAGGAUUUCUUAAUUUCCGUGUAUCUAUGCCUUCUCCUACUCC